rnacentral:rRNA from 1 species
UACGUAGGGGGCAAGCGUUGUCCGGAUUUAUUGGGCGUAAAGAGCGUGUAGGCGGCUAGGUAGGUCCGUUGUGAAAACUCGAGGCUCAACCUCGAGACGCCGGUGGAAACCAUCUAGCUAGAGUCCGGAAGAGGAGAGUGGAAUUCCUGGUGUAGCGGUGAAAUGCGCAGAUAUCAGGAAGAACACCCGUGGCGAAGGCGGGUCUCUGGGCCGAUACUGACGCUGAGGAGCGAAAGCGUGGGGAGCGAACAGG